UACGUAGGGUGCAAGCGUUAAUCGGAAUUACUGGGCGUAAAGCGUGCGCAGGCGGUUGUGCAAGACAGAUGUGAAAUCCCCGGGCUCAAUCUGGGAACUGCAUUUGUGACUGCACGGCUGGAGUGCGGCAGAGGGGGAUGGAAUUCCGCGUGUAGCAGUGAAAUGCGUAGAUAUGCGGAGGAACACCGAUGGCGAAGGCAAUCCCCUGGGCCUGCACUGACGCUCAUGCACGAAAGCGUGGGGAGCAAACAGG
rnacentral:rRNA from 1 species